GAUGAAGGAAGACUUCCUGGAGGAGGUGACCUUGGGCUGAGCUUGGGAGAAUGGGGUGGGCAAGCCAGGCAGAGGAAAAGCAGGUGCAGAGGAAGGGAUGAGGGAAGGAUGAACUUGGUGGAGAGACAAGAGGUUGGGAGGGUAGGGCUAGGGUCCCCACUAAGCAGAGGUGAGGAGUAAAGAACCAAUGGUGAGAGGGUCCCCACAGCAGUUGACACCACUGUAGGAAGGUGAGUCCAGGGCAGCUCAUGUGCCUGGGACCAAGCCUUUCUCUGAGCCUGAUCAGCACCUUGGACAGGGCCUGGGGCUGGAGCCCAGCAAGGACCCCAGAAAGAGUUCACAAGGCUGUCACCCUGACUUCCAGAGAGGAGAACAGCAGACAUGACAUAGCAGCAGGCACUGGACCUGCUCAUCCUGGCAGGGGAGAGGCAGCAGAGGCCAGGGAUGGGGAGGGAGAAGGAGGGGAGAGCGGGCAGCACACAGAAGCUGGCAUGCCCAUGCAGUCUCAUCCAAGACACUGUGUCCUUGUCACUUCUUCCAAGGGGAACUUGUCCUCCUCUCAAGGAGACCAGCUCCCCACCCCCCGUCCUUGGGUGAGCUUUUAUGUCCCACAAAGGCCCAGAGUGGACAGGAAACAGUCUGCAGAUCCCGUGCUCCACUGGCCUGUGUCUCAGGCUGACUCUGGUCACAUCCAUCCCCCGAUGAUCCCCUGCUUCUGUCCUGCACCCGAUCCCUGGUGGGUCUGGGCCUGCAGCCCCCUCCGCCAGCAACAUGGGGACCCAAGCUGGCUGGUUUGGAUUCUGUUGUUUCUCUUACCUUUAGAUGUUCAACAGCAUGAAUAUUCUUAUUUUUUAUUUAAAACUAAUUUGGAGUUCUCACUCUCCAAGGGGCUUCUAAUCACCAAAAAGUGCCUACGGCAAGAGCUGAUUGACAGGCCAGCGUGGCCACUUCUGAAGAACAAACUGGCCAUUGGCAGAGCCACAUACAAAGGAGGACGCCCAGGGCUGGUUAUUUAUGAGCUAUUAGGGAGGCGCAGUCAGCAUCUGCUUCCCACAUGGGCAAAAACACCUGUCAGACAUCAGGAGGCCAUAAAACACACACAUUUAACAGUUACUUUGUUUAAAAAGUCAUUAAAAUUGAAUGUCAGCUAAAACUUGGGAAAACAUUUAUUCUUCAAACCCCUUUGAAUCUUGCUGGUGAGCCAGAGACAGGACUGUCUCUAACUCAACAAAGACAUGAGUGUGUAAACAGGCAGGCGAGGCCCUGGAGUGG
ensembl:lncRNA